GACAGAGGUGCCAAGCGUUAGGCGGAAUCACUGGGCUUAAAGCGUGUGUAGGCGGACUUGUAAGUACCUUGUGAAAUCCCACGGCUCACCCGUGGAACUGCUGGGUAUACUGCGAGUCUUGAGCCACUUAGGGGCUGUCGGAACAGGCGGUGGAGCGGUGAAAUGCGUAGAUAUCGCCUGGAACGCCAAAGGUGAAAACAGACAGCUGGGAGUGUGCUGACGCUGAGACACGAACGAGCC
rnacentral:rRNA from 1 species